rnacentral:rRNA from 1 species
GUACACUCCUGCGGGAGGCAGCAGUGGGGAAUAUUGCACAAUGGGCGCAAGCCUGAUGCAGCCAUGCCGCGUGUAUGAAGAAGGCCUUCGGGUUGUAAAGUACUUUCAGCGGGGAGGAAGGCGAUAAGGUUAAUAACCUUGUUGAUUGACGUUACCCGCAGAAGAAGCACCGGCUAACUCCGUGCCAGCAGCCGCGGUAAUACGGAGGGUGCAAGCGUUAAUCGGAAUUACUGGGCGUAAAGCGCACGCAGGCGGUCUGUCAAGUCGGAUGUGAAAUCCCCGGGCUCAACCUGGGAACUGCAUUCGAAACUGGCAGGCUAGGGUCUUGUAGAGGGGGGUAGAAUUCCAGGUGUAGCGGUGAAAUGCGUAGAGAUCUGGAGGAAUACCGGUGGCGAAGGCGGCCCCCUGGACAAAGACUGACGCUCAGGUGCGAAAGCGUGGGGAGCAAACAGGAUUAGAUACCCCUGUAGUCCCAU